UACGGAGGGUGCAAGCGUUUAAUCGGAAUUACUGGGCGUAAAGCGUGCGUAGGUGGUUCGUUAAGUCCGUUGUGAAAGCCCCGAGCUCAACUUGGGAAUUGCAGUGGAUACUGGCGAGCUAGAGUGCGGUAGAGGAAGGUGGAAUUCCCGGUGUAGCGGUGAAAUGCGUAGAGAUCGGGAGGAACACCAGUGGCGAAGGCGGCUCACUGGACCGGUAUUGACGCUGAGGUGCGAAAGCGUGGGGAGCAAACAGGG
rnacentral:rRNA from 1 species